rnacentral:rRNA from 1 species
GAAGACGCUGGCGGCAGGCCUAAAACAUGCGAAGUCGAACGGGUGUAGCAAUACAUCAGUGGCGCACGGGUGAGUAACGCGUGGGAACGUGCCCUUCAGUACGGGACAACGUCGGGAAACUGACGCUAAUACCGUAUAAUAGUCUCCGGAUCAAAAGAUUUAUCGCUGAAGGAUCGGCCCGCGUCUGAUUAGUUUGUUGGUGAGGUAACGGCUCACCCAAGACUACGAUCAGUAGCUGGUCUGAGAGGAUGAUCAGCCACACUGGGACUGAGACACGGCCCAGACUCCUACGGGAGGCAGCAGUUAGGAAUAUUGGACAAUGGGGGAAACCCUGAUCCAGCCAUGCCGCGUGUGUGAUGAAGGCCUUAGGGUUGUAAAGCACUUUCGUUGGGGAUGAUAAUGACCGUACCCAAAGAAGAAGCCACGGCUAAAUUCGUG